AAGUCGUAACAAGGUUUCCGUAGGUGAACCUGCGGAAGGAUCAUUAUCGAGUUUUGACUGGGUUGUAGCUGGCCUCCCGAGGCAUGUGCACGCCCUGCUCAUCCACUCUACACCUGUGCACUUACUGUGGGCUUCAGACGUCGUGGAGCGGGCUCUUUACGGAGCUUGUAGAGCGUGUCUGUGCCUGCGUUUACCACAAACUCUAUAAAGUAUUAGAAUGUGUAUUGCGAUGUAACGCAUCUAUGUACAACUUUCAGCAACGGAUCUCUUGGCUCUC
rnacentral:misc_RNA from 1 species